rnacentral:rRNA from 1 species
UACGUAGGGGGGCGAGCGUUGUCCGGAUUUAUUGGGCGUAAAGAGCGUGUAGGCGGCCAGGUAGGUCUGCUGUGAAAACUGGAGGCUCAACCUCCAGACGUCGACGGAAACCGUAUGGCUAGAGUCCGGAAGAGGAGAGUGGAAUUCCUGGUGUAGCGGUGAAAUGCGCAGAUAUCAGGAAGAACACCAAUGGCGAAGGCAGCUCUCUGGGACGGUACUGACGCUGAGGAGCGAAAGCGUGGGGAGCGAACAGG